AAAAAACGUUCUGUUGGGGAAAGAGGAACAGAAACAUCUACCCCUGCGGACGGUGCGCGAAAGCGUUCGAAUUUGAGUCCUAGGAUUCAUCCCCCCGCAUUAUAUACUUCAAACUUUUAUCGUCUGAAUCUUUUUGUUGUUCAUUUUGAACUCCAAUACGAAUUAUUAAA
rnacentral:misc_RNA from 1 species